rnacentral:lncRNA from 1 species
AUGUGUCUGCAGAUUCUUCCAGAGCACCAGUUUUCUCCAUCCAAAACAGUCCCAGAGCCAAGAACACUUUGGCUGCUAGAAACAUUGGCCAGAAAUAAGAAUAGUACGGAGAAGGAACUUGUGAAUUUCCUUCAGGGUUUUACCAUUAAUUGCGAACAAUCCUGCUAUCUCCUGGCUCUAGCAGUGGUUUGGGCAAAUCAGGCAUGUUAUCAGGUACAGAGGAGAAAAGUCAACCACAGGGCUAGUCUGGAGGUGCUGAGGUUUUUGAGGGCUGUUGCACAAACUUCAGAGGGGAUCAAGACUCUUGGAAAUGUUUUCAUACCGAAGAAAAAGGAGAUACCCAAAAUCCAUAUUUUGAUAUAUUUUAAACAAUACUGAAGAGGAAACCUAAGGCUGUAAGAACAAGCUACUCAGAAGAUUGAAUAAGUGUUAUAUACAGAUACACAUAAAUUGUUAGAUGUUUUUCUAUUAAGCUAGAUAUGAUAUGGUUUUGGCCAUGGAAAAAGAGUGGAAACUUAGUGCUCUGGUAGAAAAUUACUGUCUGGCCAUUUGUUACGAACUAGUGUUUGUCCUUUCCAGUGUCUGGACCUACUUUUCUUGGUGUACUUUCAUGACCUGUCAGGCUUAAUGUAUGAGAUAAGAUAAACCUGUAUUUUUUGGGGGUGGUGAAGAUACCAAGCCAUUUCAUCUGUAAGUAUGCAUUAGUGUUAAAUAAAUUUUGUUUUGCUUUGUUUUAAUACCUAAGU